GACGAGGACGGCCUGACAGAGGAGGAGGAAGCAUGGCGAAGUUCUUUGGGGACGCGGCGUCGGUGCUGAUGAAGGUGCUGAUGAGGAAGAGCAUCAGCCUGUACGCCGAGUUCUCUUACCUCUUCACCGACCUCGCCUCCCUCGUCGUGUCGGCUCUCCGGUUCUCCACCAUCGUGGCCAGGCAACCUUCUUCUUUCCCUCCUCAUCCUUCUACGUCUUCCACUUCUGCUGCUGCUGCUGCUGCUUCGACCUCUGCUUCUUCUGCCAGAAGGUACUCGCCGAUCCUGAUGUCCAUGGCCAUCCGACACCGUGUGUACUGAGCUCGAUCGAUGCGGUUGACAUUGUGCUGCUGGAUCUUCCUUUUCUUGCCCUCUUGUCUUUUGGGGUUGGCUUACGUGGGGUGUUCGGAACUUGCCCAUGAUUCGUUCGUAUGGCGAUGAGGGGAAUCUAUGCAAGUCUCUGGUUUCCCAGGCGCAAAAUGUUUGUUCUUCUUGAUGAUGGGAUGGUUCUUGCUGGGGAUACUAUUUGGGACGCCGGUUUGUUUUUAUGAUUAUCGAGAUUUCCAGCCGCGGGACAGGUUUGAGAUUUCGUUAUGUAUGGGUUCCUGUAGGCUUGCGACCGAUCUGCGAUCUGUUUCGCAGAUGAUUAGGAAACUCGAAUUCAACGAGACAUUUUGCUCGAUUGUGUGAUGAGACUGUGUGAUGAGACGCAUCAUGUAUCAGAACAUGUAAUAACCGAUAAGUACUAAUUUACUCCUUUUCCUUUUCACAAUCUGAACAAUGGUUUUUCCAAUCAUCGUGAUUGUCUGAAUUUAGGAAAGUAAGGUGGUUUUAUUAGAUCACGUUGUUGACACCCAAAAAUGGCAAAGUGUUGCGAGAUAGCCGAUGAGCAGGGUUUGAUCGAGAAGAACAGAUUUGAUCUGAGAAUUAGGGCAGUCGAGAAGAUCGGCAAGUCGAUGUCUAGCACAAUCGACAAGAUUCUUCAUCCAGAAUUCAAGAAUUGAUCGAUAACAGCAGGCUCUAUUAGAUUUUGACCAAGUAUAAGAAGACAAUCGAUGAACGGAGUGAAAAAAUGAUUGCUUUGCUGAUUAAGAGGCAAGGGUGGCAAAUUGACGCGCGUCUGUAACUGUCAAAUGGUCAAAUCGAUAAUUUAGGUACUUGUAACUUCUUAUAGAUAAAUGUUGUUGAUGAAUGAAACUAUGGGUGAAUUUGUGAUUAUUCAAUAACUGUGUAUAUGUAAAUGUCGAUGGUGGGUUAUAAACACUUUCAGUGUAUACGUUGUAAAGGUUACUCAAUCAAUCUUAGAACAUCCAAUGUUAUUUUUCAUAAUCCUUUAAUUUGUAGCAUUAUUUACAUUGCUAGCAACUAUUGUUUUUGGUAUUCUUACCAUUAAGUUUCCAGCCAUUUACUUUCCUGUCUAAAAUCAAUAAAAAUGCCUUCACAACCAUUUAUCAAUUUAUUCAAAUCCAUCACACUUAAGGAUUUUUCACUUUUCUGGCGAAAAUGAUGAAAGUGCAAAAUCUGUCUUUUACGAUUUAGCUACUAGUCAACUGAGUCUUUAAUGUUUUAAAAAAUGUUCAAUCAAGUGAUAAACUUGUUGCUAAUAGAUUUAUAAUGUUGGAAACUCGAUGUGGCUUUCAAGCUCAUUUGUGGCCAAAUGGUAUUAAUGAAAGCUCGAGUCAGAGACAUGUAAGAUAUCCAACGUCAAAACCCCAUUAAUAGUGAGUUUAGGAUUUGAUUAUACAUAACAUUAAGUACUUAUUCUCACUUAUUACCUAGAAGCAAAUGGAUUUCAUGAUAAACCUUGCAUCUGAGCCUUUGCUUGCCGGGGGAAAGGAAGUCCAGUGCACUUGCCAAAUAAAUAGGUUGGAGGAAGGCCACUCUGAUGACAACUUGUUCACUAAGGUCCAUAUUGUCGUAAUUCGUAUAUAAUGUCUUGUAACAUAUAAUAACUCAGAAAGUUAAUGAUCGCGAGUGAGCUUCGGUUCUUAUAUGAUGCAAUGCCUAUGAAUUCCCUGAGAAAUUUAGGGGCAACUCGAGCGAGGAUACAAGUUCUCGCCCAAAUAAUUUGGUUUCUUGAAGUAAACCCUAACCAAACUUCUUCUGACCAAACAACACAAGAAAAGGCCACCAAACAGAUGCAAGGUGAAACGUAAAUGGUUGCUUCCUAUAAAAGGUCAACAUUAUGUACAUGCCCACCUGUAUACAUUUGAUUCAAAACCCUCGUCUACAAUCUCCGAUUUCCGUUGGUCUGAUGGGUAGUUGGAUUUGAUACCGUGCCGCUUUCCGAUACUUCCAGCAAGCAAGCUAUUUCCAUCUUCUAGUUCACUCUAAUUACAGAGAACUUGUCACCCCCUCUCCCUCCCUCUCUCCCUCCCUCUUUUAAGUUUUGGCCUUUUUUCGUCUUUUUAACUUUUGGAGGGGAGGGAUUUGACCUAAAUCUCUCCCUCCCCUCUUUAUUGCUUUUUUUUUUUCUCUUAUUUCUUUCCUUACUCUCCGAAUCUAGAUUUAGAUUUGGGAUUUUGAUCUCCCAAUCUUAGGUUUGAGAGUUUUUCUCUCUAAUCUAAUUUUAGAUUUAAGAGUUUUAAUGAACAAGUACUUCACCUCCAAUCUCAAUGGUGUUCACAGUAGUUUCGGUGUCAAAUUUGUACUCGUUCAAUUUUGGAUAGCUCGCUUUCACAGGUCUUAUAUUGUAGGAGGCCUGUGUCACCAAUUGAAACGGACAAAACAUGUACAGCCUUAGAUAGAAAUUUUAAAAAAAUCACUUUUUUUUAAUAUGUGUCCAACCAUUCUUUCUUGAAUUUAACACAUAUUGGCACGCCAAUUCUCGUUCGUUUGAUUUUAAUUAUGUAUUUUAAACUUAAUUAUACUUUUUCAAUAAGAAAAACUCAUUCAUGUUUUAUUAAAGUGUUUCGAGUAUAAAUAAUGUAUUUUCUAUUACUCAUAUUUCAUAUUACAUAUAUUGUAAUACAUGUUUUUAUUUUUAAAAAUGACUUCAGGCCAAUCCAGGCCAUUUCUGGCUCGAAAAUCUCGGGCCCGAAGGCCCAAACCCGCUCGGAUGGAAAAAGUAUAUAUGAUAAACUCGAAAUUCUAGCUAUGGCAUUAGCCUCCAAAAUUAGGCUAGUCUACGCUUUCGGGCUUCGGCUCUUUCUUCUUCCCUUCUUUUGAGCUGGGAUUUAUUUUUAGUUUAAUUUUUUUGCAAAAAUUUGGGCGUGUUUUGACAAAACUGCCCUUGAUUUGCUUAAUAUUGGGUACCUUGAUAAUUCGUUCAAUUAAGUAUCCUUCCAAUAUAUGGCUCAACGUGGCCCUUCUGGCAAAUAAAGUGCCACGUCAUCAAGCUUUUGCUGACUUGGCUUGUCCACUCACUGAAAAAAAACUGCAUUUUUGCUCUGUUUCUUAUGUUUAAUGUUCAAUUCACUCAUCAAUCAACAACACAUUCAAUGCGUCGGGGACAAGGUUUAUGAUGUAGCCUGUGUGUUGCAUCAUUGUCCUUGCAAAAACAUGACCUUAAAAUUGAACAUGUGUUCGUCUUGUCCAUUGCAUUUCCAUAAAUUGGGAUUAUAAACUCAAUUCGAAAAUGAAUUUUAAUAAACUUCCCAUAUCUCCUUCCAUGUUUUUUGUUCGACAUGCGACCCUAAUGCUACUCACUGUCAUGCCAGGUGUCAUCACUUGUCUAGCGAUGGGUGCUGCACUGUCAUUUGCUGCACUUGGUGCCAUCAAUCCUAGCAUCUGUGCUGACACCUCUCUUCCACUUUAGGUAUUGUAUACAAAAAAGAAAAAGAAAAAAAAGACAAUUUUUGUAAUUAACAUGGGGUUGAUUUGAGCGAGUAUAGAACUCGGUGUUAAAUUCGACUUAGUUAUUGGUAAUUUGCCAAUAAUAUAAAUAGUUGUUGAUCACAUGAUAAUUAUUGAUGACUAAGGAAUAUAGAUGUCGACAUACGAUAGUGUGAUUGGUCAACAAUUAUCACUUAACGGGUUGGGUAGGUGUUGAAUAUAGAGGAAAGGAAGAAAGAGGACAAAGUGGGAAUGUGGAUUGAAGAUAAAGAUUCCAAUUAAGGGUCAAACCUGGUGACGCUUAAGGAGUUGUAACUGCUUGUUGGUAAGGUCGAUGUGCGAUUAUAGAGCCUAAAAAUAUGAAGAUGUGGUUGUAAUGUUAUACUUUUUAGUAGCCUAUAUAAAGCCGUGUGUAAUUGUUAUGAGGACAUAACUACCAUCACAAUAACUUAUUUAUUUUCACAAUUUAUCCAUACUCACAUUUCAUUCCCUUGAAAAUUUAAUUAUUCUCGAUCAUUAUUAUGCAAUUCAAUUUUUGUCCGAAUCACCGCUAGACCUGUUCAAUAAAAAAUGAAGAUCAACCUUUGUGAAAUGUAUUUCACCGAUUUGGACAGCUUUCAAUCUCUAGUGAAACAUAUAUCUAGUGCUAACUUCCAUAAACUAGGCAUUGCGUUUUCUAGAAAAUUCCAUAAUAAAAUUCUUUGAUCCCAUCCGAUUCACUAAGACAUCGAGAAAAGCAAAUAGUGUUUCACAAAAUUUUGGAUAUGAUAAUUGAAUCGGUAUAAUAUUUACAAUCUUAUGAAUAUAAAAAAAUAAAUUACUCGUGAUGAAUUAUUAGAUCCAAAAGUAAUAAAGAAUUAAGUGUACUAAUUUGUCAAAAAAAGUUUUGUUGACACCUAAAUUUUGGCGAUCCAUUUAGUCAUUUAUUACAUAAAAAUUAGGGGUUAAUUUUAUCCUUAAAAAAAUAUAUUAAUUGCAUAGCUACAUUUAGUUUGCAUAUUUUGCAUUUUAUUUACUGGACCGGUGGCGGAUGGAUCGAAUUGGUGGUUUUGAAUUUUAAAUUAAUAGGCCGGGCUAGGCCCAUGAAAUGAUAAAAUUAACCCAAGCCCGUCGUUGUUGUUUAAUUGAUUAUCUUGUGAAAAUUUAAGAUUUGAUGCGAUAUUAUGAUGAUUUUUGGAAAUUAAAAAAUCGCACUGUAAUCUUAAAGUUGGGAAUAUUAAGGAGGAUAAGGAAUAUUCUAAAAUAUUUUGUUGCAGAUGGAUAUCUCGAAAGAUUUUAGAAUUGGAUAAUAGAGUUUUAUCUAAAGUGAAUUAUUUGGAAAAUCUUCACAAAAAAAUUCCAGUUUAUCUUUAAUCGCUGAGUCAGCAUAUAAAAUCUUCAAUGGUCGAGCGAGUCAGCUUGGAAGAUUUUAAUAAAUGAUUUCAAUGGCCGAGUGAGUCAGCAUACACGAUAAUCUCGAAAGAUGAUCUUCAGCGAUUGAGUUGUUAUGCAAAUCUUCGUAGGUUGAGCAGACUAAGUUUUCACUCUAUAAAUGGGGGUGGCCUUCUCUUCGUCCGAGGGGGAGCUUUUUUUGAAAAAAUUCAGAAAUAAGGGAAGAGAAAGGUAAAAAGAAGCUUUGCUUCUGCAGUAAAAAAAAGAAAGAGAGAAAGAGUACGAAGGAAGAGGGAGAGUGACGUGAGAGAGGGAGAGAGAGGAAGAAAAGUCAAAAGGACAAAAAAGGAAAAGUCAGAACGUGAGAGAGAGAGAGGAGAAAAGGUAAAGUGAAAAGGGGGUGAUUUGACCCCUACUGUUCAUCGUCUCCCCCAACUUGCUGCCCACGUUGCUGCUCCAUCCGUGACGCUCGUUGCAGCUCCAUCCGCACUGCUCAGAGCUCCUUCGCCUCGCCACGCUGCAGGACGUGUGUGCGACCACCACCGCUCCUCGCCUUCCACGAAGCCCGACGCCCUCCUCCGCUUUUCGCCGGUAAUCGAUCCGCUCAACGUCGCCUGCUGUUACUCGGAGCCGAAGCCCUGCGACCACUGCCCAUUCCCCUUCCGACGUUGCUGCGGCUCCUGUUCUGCUCGUUGUCGCGCCUACUGCGUCUCCACCACCGCCGGCAGUUGAACCGCAAGCCAUCGCCGCUCCGCCGGUUGUCCGCGACCGCCCAGCGCCGAUUUGCCUCUCACCAGUCCGACGGAGCUACCGCCUUGCCGCACCGCAACCCAGCCGUGCUGACUCGUGUGCCCUGCUCUGAGUACUGCCCGUGCCCCAAAAUCGCGACGCCACUGGAGCCCCAAAUCAGUCGUACCGCCGAGCCGAUUUGCCCUCUGUUCGCGAUCUGCCUGCAACCCGCGCUGGUCCGAGAUCUGCCGUCUUGCCCCGCCGCGCCUCCUUCGCCCGUGCCGCCCCUGUCUCGCCUGACCCGUGACCAGCUGUGCCUGCUGCGGCCCUUGCCGGAGUUCCCCUUCGCCGGACCUUCGCCGGACCGAUUGACCCGCUGCCCUUGGAGACCCACGGUUACAAGCAGGAAAAGAAAAACAAAAAAAGAAAAGGAAAGGGAAAUUAGGUAGUUUUAUUCUUUUUCUAUUUACUUUAUUUUAUUUAUUUCUUUUAAGUUCAGGAGUAAUCUUUAUUUUAUGGAUUUUGUAGGCAUUAUCCAUAGGUCUUCCCCAAAAUUAUUGUAAUUACUAAUUUGAUCCGUAAGAUGUCGGAUAAUUUUUUUAAUUAUAUUAAUUUUUGGGGUUUGUUGAUAUGUUUUAAGUGCUGGAUCAAUGUAAUUAUUAAUUUGAUCCGUAAGAAUUCGGAUCAGAUUUUUGGUUAUUUUGAACUCUUUGUCGUGAUAAUUAGGGUUAUGAUAAUCGUUAAUUUGACAUGUGAGACAACGGGUUAUUUUUUCCAAUUAUUUUAAUUCUUUAUUUGAUUGCAUAUCUUGAUUGUUUAGAUUUAAUGUUUAGCUGAUAAUUGCUUGUUUUGGAUAAUCACUAAAAAAAUCAAAAAAAAAUAUUCGAAUUAAGAUUUAGUUUGUUUUAGAAUAUUUCUUGUUAUCUUGCAUAUCUAGGAUAAGGAUUUCAGUUUGAAAAAUAUAAAAAAUGCAUUAAUUUAGGAUUUUAGUUGCAUGUUUAAUUACGUGGCAAUUUUAAAUUUUGAAUUUUAAAUAAAAAAUAAAAGAUAAAAAAUAUCAUGCAUAUGUCAUGUAGAAUUAGGGCUUGCUCCGCACGUCAUUGCAUAUUAGAUCUAUUACAUGUUAGAUUAAGAUAAUAUCUUAAUUUAAAUUAGGAUUUAAUGUGACUUAAUCCUUAGUUUAAAUUAGAUAGAAUUUUAAUCUAGCUAGAUCAUUUUUGCAUUUUUAAAUAGAAAUAUCAAAUGCACGUCAUUUAGUUUUUAUUAGGUUCAUUUAAUUAGAACUUCCUUGUCAUUAGACUAAAUCAUUUAAUAAAUGUCGCAUGAUAUAUAACUCGAGUGCUAAAUUAUUUGCGGCAUGUCAUCUUAGUUUAAAUAAUUUUGUAUGUCAUUGCAUCGCAUUGCAUGUCAUUAGAAUUAGGUCAUUUAGAUUGCAUUUAAUUAUUGCAUUUCUUCAUGUCAUAUAGUUUAGGUCAUGCUGCCAUGUCAUAUUGGAUUAUUAACAUGCAUUGCAUAAGUCAUGAUUUUCAUUAAAUAAAAUGAAAACAAAAAUUGAAAUUGCGUGUUAAUUAGAAAUCAUAUCUAGGGCUGCUGAUGCGAAUUCUGAUUUAACAAUGCAGAUGCUUUCGUUGCUCCUAGGUAUGUUUUGCAAUAUUUAAUUGCUUUCUUGAGUGUUAAAUUGGUGGUAUGCGCACAUGUUUGAUCACCUCACAUAUUAGGAAGUUAGUUUAAAAUCAAUUCAAUUGCCAAAUAUUUUUGAAAAUGAAAAGAAUGGUACCGAAAGGGCAUUAGAGAAAUCUAAUGUAAUCAAGUCCCCGUACCCUUAGUCUUUAGUUCGUAGGAGUAAAGUAAUUAUCCCAUUAUUUUACUUAGGUAUCUAAUCGACCUAUCAUAAACUGAUUAGUGGCGACUCCUAAAUAAAAUCAAUUUUCAUGUUAAGAAUUCAAACCUAAGUCGCGAAUUGGUAUGGGCUUGGGAGAGCCCGAGUUAAGUUUAGGCUUAACAAUCCAUUAACCUAAUUUUAGGUGAUUCACACCCCGCGAAAAAUUCCGGUCGCGACAAGUUUACUAAACAAUUAUUCAGUUAAUUAAAUCGUGAUGAUGGCAUAAGCUAAAGUAGGCUACAGUGAGAUUAAAUGCUUCUUUUCUUUUUUCCUAUUAUUAUUUUCAAUAAAAACAAGUUGACCGUCCAUUCUUUCUGUCAGGGGGGUGUCGACAUAUUUCGGGGGGGAGCUUUGGACUUUUGCUCGGGGCGACGGGGUUUGAAAAGAUCGAGGGUCGUGUCGGCUCGGGAUGAGUUCAUGAUGUCGUCAUUCUGCAGCGCCUGAUCUUGUCUCCGCCGGGCCCUUCUUUUACGGUUUUGCCCUUACUCGCUCUGUAUCUCCCACGAGCUGCCACUGGAACCUAAUAUGAAAGAGUGCUUUAAAAAAAAAAAAAGCAGAAUAGAUAAGUACACUUAAAAUCCCACGUCCUAAAAGUGUAGUCAAGCCCUUAAAAUUUUAGAAAUUUGAAAGAUUUAAAAAAAAACAAUCAACAAAAUGACUUGAUUUAAUUAAUUUAAAAAAAUUUAUGAUUUAAUUGUACUUUUUAAAAAUUUUCAGAUUAAUAAAUUUUAAUACUUGAUUGGAUAUUUUUAAAGUCUUAUAACUUUCGUCAUAAAUUUUAAGAUUUCCAUUACACUUAUGAAUAUAUAUAUAUAAAUUCUUGUUCUUGCCUUGCCCUCCAUUGGUCUAGCUGCAAAUUUUUUUUAAGUACCAUCAAAGGUUGAUCAAACAUUUGUUUUUGUGAAUUUUCUAUAUUUUUCGUUUGAAGGGACAUGUUCAGGUCGAGUUUGAUUUAAAUUGAAAAUGAUAAAGAGUUUCGACAACGGUUAAAAGAGCUUUAGUUAGCUUGAUUUUGAUAUAUGACCUUUUACUAACAAGAGAUGGAUGUAUUUAUUUGGAAUCCAAGGCAUUACCGUCUGUUGCAUACCACAAACAAAGGAACCUCUUUUUUCCGGACUUGAUUAAUCGAGUCGAAGAAAUUGAAUAGGGUUUUAUCUAAUAAAUAAUUCUAGCAUUAUAGCUAAAAAAAAAUCUUGACUAAUAUUAGACACAUAUGAACUUUUCGAAUUGUAUGAUAGGAACUUUACAAAGUAAGGCCAGCCUUCGUUUCAAAGUUAUCAUCUCUCCCUCUAUAAAAGUUGUAUUCCUUGGAUAAGCUAUCAACAACAAUAAAGCAUAAAAAGUUUAAGCGGAGGAACGUUUUGCAAAAGAGCAUAUUUCACUAUCUUUUCAUGUGUCACUAGAGGAGCACCGCACAUCUAGUUUGACAAAAGGGCAUUUCGAUAAAUCCACCCCAAACCUAAAUCGGCCCAUUCGCCGAGUUCUCUUGCCUGUUCACAUGGCCAUCCUAUCAAAUAAAGUGCCACGUCAUCAUGUUUUGCUGACUUGGCUUGUCCACUCACCGAAAAUUCUUCAUUUAUGUCUCAUAUAUGCAAUGUACAAUUCAUUCAUCAUUCAACAGCCCUGCACGAGGCAGGACAAAAGUCUGAGAGUGAGUGUAGAGUAGGAAUAGGAAAAAAAAAAAAAAUAGCCCGUUAAAUGCAAGGAGGUGUGGGGUCCGUGACAUGGGAAGGGGAAUCGACUGAAAUUCUAAAAGCCCAUUUUGGUAGCCUGCAUGCUGCAUCAUCAUCCUUGCAAAACCAUAGCCUUGAAAUUGAACCUAUGCUCGUCUUGACCAUUGCAUUUCCACAAAUUUGGGAUUAAAAACUCAAUUCGAGAAUGGACUUUAAUGAACUUCCCAUCUCUCCUUCCACACUUUUUGUUCGACAUGCCGCUCUUAUGCUACUCGCCGCCACACCCAGUGCCGUUGCUUGUUAGUGAUGGGCAUUGUUAUUUCUUGCACUUAGUGCCAUCACUCUUAGGAUUUGUGCGGACAGCUUUGUCUUGCUCUUUAGGUACUAUUUACACAAAAAAAUGACCAAGUUUUUGUAAUCAAUAGAUGUCGAUUUGAGUGAGUAGAAAGCUUGGUGUUAAGUUUGAUUUGGUUAUUAGUAACUUACCAAUAACAAAAAUACUUGUCAAUCACAUGAUGAUCAUUGAUGAAUGAAGAACACAAUCAUCAACAUAUAACAGUCAUCGAUCAUCGAUUAUCACUUAAUGAGUUGACUAAUUGUUGAACACAUAUGAAAUAAAAAAAGAAAAAGAAAAAAGAGGACAAAUUAGGGAUGCCAUUUGAAGACAAAGAUACCAAUUAAGGGUUAGGUCCAUUGGCAUUUGAGGAGUUGUAAUCACCUAGGUAAGGUUGAUGUAGAUAAUGGAGCCUAAAAAUAUGAAGAUGUAGUUGUAAUUUAUGAGCAAAUAUCCUUUGUAGUAGACUAUACAAAGCGGUGCGCAAUUGUUAUGACAAAAACCCAUUUAUUUUCUCAACUCAUCAAUUUUUAGCACUCGCAUUUCUUUUCUUUCAUAAUUAAUUGUUCUUGAUCCUUAUCACGCAAUUCAAUUCCUUUUUGAAUUGCCACCAAACCUGUUCAACCAAAAAAACCAAACAUCAGCUUCUAGUGAAAGGUAUUUUUGUUGAUUGUGACAGAUUUGGCUUUUGUAGAGAAAUAAAUAUUGAAUGCAACUUUUAUAGCCCAUGCAUUGCGUUUCAAAGUACUUUCUAAUUAAUUCUUGAGCUCAUAUGAUUCGCUAAGAUUGUAUAUGGUAUAUUUCUUUACCUUUAUUGAUUCAUCGAUUGCGACAUGUCCGGCUUUCCUAGCAGAACAGGUACUAGAUGCAAUUUUCAUAAUUCAUAUAUUGCAUUUUAGAAUAUUUUAUAAUAAAUUCUUGAGCCCAUUCAAUUCACUAACAUGGUAUAAAAAUAUACUUUUUACCUUUGUCCAGGAAAGCAAAUAGGGUUUCACAUACUUAUUAAAUCUAAUAAUCCAAUUAGCACCAAUAUACACAAUCUUAUGAAUACAAGAAAUAACAACACAUGUAAAAAUUAUUAAGUGCUAUAUUAUUUUAAGUGUACUAAAAAAUCAUUCAGCUAACUGAAUCGUGAGGAUGGCACGAAGCAGGGAAAGAGCAGAUUAUACCGCAAAUUGUUUUUUUUUCUUUUUUUGGGGGUCGUGCACGCCGCAAUUUAAGUGUUUAUUUAUUUAUUAUUUAUUAUUACAUAAAGAAAACAAAUCGACCGUCGAUUUUGUCAAGGGAGUGUCGACAUAUGUCGCGGGGAACCGUUUGGGACUUUGUUCGUGGCACGGGACUUCAAAGAUCCGAGGGCGGGUACCGGCUCGGAUGAGUUCAUGAUGUGUUCAUCCUCCAGCAACGCGAGUUUUGUCUCCGCGGGGCCCAUUUUGUUUUACGGUUUUGCCCUCGCACUCCCUCCGUAUUUCCCACGAGCUGCCACUGGAACUUGGAGAUGGAGAGAGCCUUUUUUUGGCAGAAUCUUUCUUCACUUCUCUCGCCUUGUCCUUCAUCGGUUUGGCAGUAAAAUUUUUAUUUUUAUAGUGCUUUCGAAGCAUUGUGUCGGAUAAUUCAUGCGACUAAUCGAGUGUUGAGUUUUUGUGAAUUAUUUAUAGGAAUCGCAUAAUUAGGUUAAGUUUGAUUUAAAUCAAAAAUGAUAUAAAGCUUGAUAGCCUCUCAUGUCGAAAUGGAGUUUUUUUUUGGAUCUGGAAAAGUACUAUUAAUUACAUUAAAAGUUCUUCGAAAGUGGCCCAAAAAGGGGCAUCAAAAUAUGUUAAUCUCCACAAAAGCUGUGGACUGAAUUAACCAAGAAAAUAAAAGAAUAUCUAAACGAUGGGCCUUGGCUACUUGAACAGUAACUUAAUUAGCCAUUUCAUUGUAACAUAUGAGGAUCGAUUGAAUAAAUUGAAAUAUCAAAUUAUAUUAUGAAUAUUAAUAUUUUCAUUUAUUUGGUUGAACCCGAUUGAUCGGGUCGAAGAAAAUAAAAUAGAGUUUCAUCCAAUAAAUAAUUCUAAGCAAUGACAAGAUCAUUUGAUUAGAAGUUAUCAUCAUCUCUCCCUCUAUAAAGGUUAUAUAUUCCGAAGAUAAACCUAUCAACGCUAGAGCAUGAAAAGUUCAAGCGGAGCACUCAACGUCUUCCUCACCUUAGCUGAUACGCUACUCUGUAGAAGGGGCAUUUCCGUAAAUCCACCCUUCGACAUUAUUCAGCUCCCCUCUCCUUACGUAAGGCCCCCCAAGACACCCCAAACCUAAAGCUCUCUCUCUCUCUCUCUCUCUCUCUCUCUCUGCAAAGUCUUUUGCCAAUGCCGGCGACGAGGACGACCUGACAGAGGAGGAGGAAGCAUGGCGAAGUUCUUUGGGGACGCGGCGUCGGUGCUGACGAAGGUGCUGAUGAGGAAGAGCGUGAGCCUGUUCGCCUAGUUCUCUUGCCUCUUCACCGACCUCGCCUCCGUCGUCGUGUCGGCUCUCCGGUUCUCCACCAUCAUGGCCAGGCAACCUUCUUCUUUCCCUCCUCAUCCUUCUCCGUCUUCCACUUCUGCUGCUGCUGCUUCCACCUCUGCUUCUUCCGCCAGAAGGUACUCUCCGAUCCUGAUGUCCAUGGCCAUCCGACAUCGUGUGUCCUGAGCUCGAUCGAUGCGGUUGAUUUCUUGCCCUCUUGUCUUUUGGGGUCGGUCUACGUGGGGGUCUUCGGAACUGCCCAUGAUUCGUUCGUAUGGCGAUGAGGGGAAUCUAUGCAAUUCUCUGGUUUCCCAGAUGCAAAAUGUUUGUUCUUCUUGAAGAUGGCGCGGUUCUUGCUGGGGCUGCUAUUUGGUACGCCAGUUUGUGUUUAUGAUUAUUGCUCGCGCUUGCGGAUCUAACAGAGGGACUCGACCAGUCCCGGAUCGUGAUUUCAAGCCGCUGGACGGGUUUGAGAUUUCAUUAUGUACAGGAUCCUGUAGGCUUGCGACCGAUCUGUGAUCUGUCUCGCAGAUGAUUAGGAAACUCGAAUUCAACGAGUCGUUUUACUCAAUUGUGUGAUGAGUUGCUUCAUGUAUCAGAAUAUGUAAUAAUCGAUAAUUACUGAUUUACUCCUUUUCCUUUUGACAAUGUAAACAAUGAUUUUUCCAAUCAUCGUGAUCGUCUGAAUUUAGGAAAUUAAGGUGGUUUUAUUAGAUUGUUGACACCCAAAAAUGGCAAAGUUUUGUGGAAUAGCCGACGAGCAGGGUUUGGUCGACAAGAACAAGAUUUGGUGUAAGAAUUAAGACAGUCGAGAAGAUCGGCAAGUCGAUGUCUAGCAUGAUCGACAAGAUUCUUCAUUGAGAAUUUAAGAAUUGAUUGAUAACAACAGACUCUAUUAGAUUUCGACCAAGUAUAAGAGGACAAUCGAUGAAUGGAGUGAA
rnacentral:lncRNA from 1 species